rnacentral:lncRNA from 10 species
UCCUACGGCUCAAUUAAUUUGCUAGGGUGGCUCACAGAACUCAGGGAAACACUCUCUUAAUGUUUACUUAUUUAUUAUAAAGGACAUUACAGAGGAUGUAGAUGAACAGACCAGAUUGAUAGCAGCCCACUAGGUCUCGGUCUGAUACAUGAUGGGAGAAUGACUGAAAGCAAGGCGAGGCUGUGGCGUGGGUUAUUUUCCCCUAGGAAUCCCCUAACACACUUCUGCAAAUCUCAGAAUAGCGUAUUGGAAUUUUUGACAACCUGGGGCAUAAUUCAAAAAAGCCAGUAAGGUGAUUUUGGUAAAUCUCAGAAAGGGUCAUGCUGGCCAAGGAUGAAAACCACGUAUAUACAUGUUUUAGGGUAAGAAGUUCCAUGGUAAACCAUGGAGGCUUUUUUAGGGUCUCUCGCCCCAUGAUUCAGCAUACUCACAUUCUGACGUGCUCGUUCCAGCGCCCAUGCCCAGAGCAAGGACCAGAGUGCUUUAUAUAGAGUAGGCUGUAGGUAAGUAACUGUUGAAAGGAAAAAUGCAGGAAUGACUGUAAACGCUUGUAUUUCUUCUGUCUUAAACCUGCCUGGCUCUAAGCACACACACAUAUGGAAGUAGCCUCAGGGAGUAAGAGGAGAGGGAACAUUCCCUCUUGCUUUUUGCUCUUUGGCUGGAGAGGCAGCUCCUCCAGGGACUGCAGUGCUCCUGUGCUGGGUCCCACAGCUCCAGGGCUCUCCGCCUUCUCUCCAGCAGCAUGUCCUCUGGCAGCCAAUUGGACUGGGUGCAAGGAACUUUAUCAGCUUUCCUUUCACAUCCUGACAGCCACAAUCACUCUUGUCGGUUUUAAUUAAAAUGUUUAAUUAAGCACAGUUCUAGGAGCAUAAAGUUAGCUUUCAUCCUGGAUAAGACCCCAGGCUUGGAGUUAAGGAGGACAAAGAGAGGGAAAGACAUGCAGGAGCCAUUCAGUUGUCCUUCACUUGAGACUUGCUUUAGGCCAAACCAGGAAGGAGUAAAUUGUGACUUAAAUCCUGUUCUAUUUCUUUUUUUUGUUUGUUUUUAUAUAUUUAUUUAUUUAUUUAUUUUUUAUUAUUAUACUUUAAGUUUUAGGGUACAUGUGCACAAUGUGCAGGUU